rnacentral:lncRNA from 1 species
GGUUCUAGACUGGGUUCACUGAAGUGGGAAGUCUCACCCUAACCACCCCAUGGACUGGAGCCCUGGACUGAGUAAAGAGAGAAAGUCAACUGAGGACCAGCAUCCUCCUCUCUCACCAGCAUCUCCUCUCUCACCAGCAUCUGUCUCUCGCUACUUUCCGACAGUGACAUACUAUGACAACUGCCUCGUCUGCCUCUACCUGAGACUUCCCUACCAUGAUGGAUAGUGUUCUCUUCAUCUGUGAGCCAGAGUAUGCCCCUCCUCCCUUAACUACUUGCUGGGUACUUAGCCAGAGCAAUGGGAAAGAAACUAAGACACGUGGCUUCCUCUGCUUCCUCUGCUUGGCUGCUGGUGAGGACUCCUCCUGACACCUCAGAUUUGGCAAAGAAGACUGCUGAAUGACUAUAUUUAGAACAGGCCAGACACUCUCAGGGGAACUAACCUGGGUCCCUAGGGAACUACAUUAAUCCCUUCUGAAGGCAAUGCCUUCCAAUGACCUAACUACUUCCACUAAGUCCCACCUCUUAAGGCUCCAUCCUCUCAUCACUGUUAGGGAACUCAUCUGCACUGCAUGGCCCUCUGGGAGACACACCCAAUCCCAUUCAAACCAUGACAAUGACCUUUCUUACUGUUAUCCAUUCAUAAAAUUAAUGCUUGUUGAUUGCCUCCUUGUAACAGGUUGGGUUCUAGGUGCUGAGCCUUAUCAGUGAGCAAACAGACGAGUUCCCUGCCCUUGUGGCAUUUCAGGCUUGCUUCUUUCAGACUCACAGGCCUGUGAGGAGGGCCUGAUGCUUGCCUGUAUGGAUUUUGCUGGACUCUGGGGAGCCAAGUAGCAUACUAAGAUGUGAAGCUAGUGAGCAGCAGAGACAGGAUUUGAACCGAAGUCUGUGAGGCAUCUCAGAGCCUCCUUCCACGGCCUCCUCCUGUCUCUAACAGGCAACACGGUUGCAUGCAUGGCUAGCUCAUCCACAUUGUCAAUGUCAGCUUCCGUGUGUGGUGCAGGCUCUAUUUUAAGGGAUUAAUUUUAAUUAAAGUUUUGAGACAAUGUCCCAUUAUGUAUCUCAGGGUGGCCUUGGAGCCUCCUGCAAGCUGGGAU